rnacentral:rRNA from 1 species
GACGAACGCUGGCGGCGUGCUUAACACAUGCAUGUCGAACGGUUUGGCGAACGGGUGAGUAACACGUGGGUGAUCUCCCUUGCACCGCGGGAUAAGCUUGGGAAACUGGGUCGAAUACCGGAUAGUGCAAGAUGAGCUCGCGGCCUAUCAGCUUGUGGGUGGGGUAAUGGCCUACCAAGGCGUCGACGGGUAGCCGGCCUGAGAGGGUGUACGGCCACAUUGGGACUGCGAUACGGCCCAGAAUCCUACGGGAGGCAGCAGUGGGGAAUAUUGCACAAUGGGCGGGAGACAGAUGCAGCGAGGGCGCGUGGGGGAUGAAGGGCUUGGGGUUGUAAACUCCUUUCGACAGGGACGCGGUACCUGUAUAGGAAGCACCGGCUAAGUACGUGCCAGCAGCCGCGGUAAUAC